GACCGGAGUGGACGCAUCACUGGUGUUCGGGUUGUCAUGCCAAUGGCACUGCCCGGUAGCUAAAUGCGGAAGAGAUAAGUGCUGAAAGCAUCUAAGCACGAAACUUGCCCCGAGAUGAGUUCUCCCUGAGACUUAGAGUCUCCUGAAGGAACGUUGAAGACGACGACGUUGAUAGGCCGGGUGUGUAAGCGCAGCGAUGCGUUGAGCUAACCGGUACUAAUGAACCGUGAGGCUUAACCUUAC
rnacentral:rRNA from 1 species